CCUACGGGAGGCAGCAGUAGGGAAUCUUCCGCAAUGGACGAAAGUCUGACGGAGCAACGCCGCGUGAGUGAUGAAGGCUUUCGGGUCGUUAAACUCUGUUGUAAGGGAAGAACAAGUACAGUAGUAACUGGCUGUACCUUGACGGUACCUUAUUAGAAAGCCACGGCUAACUACGUGCCAGCAGCCGCGGUAAU
rnacentral:rRNA from 1 species